GACGAACGCUGGCGGCGUGCUUAACACAUGCAAGUCGAACGGAAAGGCCCUGCUUUUGUGGGGUGCUCGAGUGGCGAACGGGUGAGUAACACGUGAGUAACCUGCCCUUGACUUUGGGAUAACUUCAGGAAACUGGGGCUAAUACCGGAUAGGAGCUCCUGCUGCAUGGUGGGGGUUGGAAAGUUUCGGCGGUUGGGGAUGGACUCGCGGCUUAUCCGCUUGUUUGUGGGGUAGUGGCUUACCAAGGCUUUGACGGGUAGCCGGCCUGAGAGGGUGACCGGCCACAUGGGGACUGAGGUACGGCCCAGAAUCCAACGGGAGGCAGCAGUGGGGAGUAUUGCGCAGUGGGCGGAAGUCUGAUGCGGCAACGCCGCGUGCGGGAUGACGGCCUUCGGGUUGUGAACCGCUUUCGACUGUGACGAAGCGUGAGUGACGGUAAUGGGUAAAGAAGCACCGGCUAACUACGUG
rnacentral:rRNA from 1 species